UCAGACGAUGCGUCAUGCAUAUCAAUAAGCGGAGGAAAAGAAACUAACAAGGAUUCCCCUAGUAACGGCGAGUGAAGCGGGAAGAGCUCAAAUUUGAAAUCUUAAAGGGUUUCCCUUUACGAAUUGUAGUUUAAAGAAGUGUUUUCUGUUGAGGUUUUGGUAAAGGUUCUUUGGAAUAGGACAUCAUAGAGGGUGAGAAUCCCGUAUUUGACCUUUACUUUCAACUUUGUGAUACACUUUCAAAGAGUCGGAUUGUUUGGGAAUGCAGUCCAAAAUGGGUGGUAAAUUUCAUCUAAAGCUAAAUAUUGGCGAGAGACCGAUAGCGAACAAGUACCGUGAGGGAAAGAUGAAAAGAACUUUGAAAAGAGAGUUAAACAGUACGUGAAAUUGUCAAAAGGGAAGCGUUUGACACCAGUGUUGUUUUUCUGAAAAUCAAUUAAAGAACUGUUUAUGCUAAGUUGUUUAGACUUUAUCAGCUAUCUGCUUAGUUUUGAGCUUUUCUUUAAUGCACUUUUCAGUUAACAAGUCAACAUCAAUUUCUUUUGCUGUAAAAAAGCUUGAGGAAGGUGGCUUGAGAUUCGUCUUAAGUGUUUAUAGCCUCUUGCCUAUGCAGUCGGAGAGAUUGAGGUCUGCAGCGUAGAUCCUUCGGGGCUAAAUGCAUUUGUGCUAAGUUAUAGCAUUUUAUAGACAACUUGUUGACUAUGAUUUGUCUUGUAGCUUACUCGCUUAUGUUAUUUUACCUACGCUUAGGAUGUUGACACACGCGCGUGCUCG
rnacentral:rRNA from 1 species